GGUCGGCCGAGUCGUCCCCUCCCGCGGGCUUUGCGACCGUGCCGUAAGGCAGCCCCUCGCGCCGUCGCGACUCCGCUGUGCGUCGCGGGGGCCGCCGGACGGCAGCCAUGGCGGCCUUGCGACCCCCGAGGAGGGCCCUGCUUCGUCUCUGCCGCGCCUUCUCCAGCGGCGGCUGCCAGCUCGCCCCCGAGCGCGGCGGUGAGCGCAGGGAUGCCGCGCCGAGCCGGGUCUCAAGAUUCUGCCCUCCAAGAAAAUCUUGCCAUGAUUGGAUAGGACCCCCAGAUAAAUAUUCAAACCUUCGACCUGUUCACUUUUAUAUCCCUGAAAAUGAAUCACCAUUGGAACAAAAGUUAAGAGAAUUAAGACAAGAAACACAAGAAUGGAACCAACAGUUCUGGGCAAACCAGAAUUUGACUUUUCUUAAGGAAAAAGAAAAAUUUAUUGACUCAAGACUAAAAGCCAAAGGCCUGGAACUGAGAGCUGAAUCAGGUCAAAAAGCAACAUUGAAUGCAGAAGAAAUGGCUGACUUUUACAAGCAAUUUUUAAGUAAAAAUUUUCAGAAGCACAUGUAUUACAACAGGUAGAAGUUGCUAUCAACUUAGUUUUCGCACUUUUAAAUAAAAUUGACAGCUUAAAGUUGUUUGCGUGGCAUCCCUAAAGCAGCUUGCACCCCUAGUGCGUAGACAGUGGGUUCUACACAGCACUUCCCACUGGAAGGAACCCGGACUCCACUGAGAAGCACAGUCUGGGGCAGGAGCAGCACAAGAGGAGUCGAGACGUCUUGUGUUUGAAAGUGAGGAAGCUCGGAGCCCAGCGGGGUCAUGUGAGAACAGCCCAGAAGGCGACUCGAGGGGCUCCCGUAGGCCAGAGACGGAGCCAUUGCAGCCACACCAAGAAAGUGACGGCUGUGGAUUAAAAAUCUAUCACAUAUGCUAACAUCUUUGCGAUCAUAAUGACACUGAGUGGCCCACAGGCACCGCGGGGUAUUGCUAGGCAGCCAACCCAUUGUUCUGAAAAUCGAUACGUGAAGGAGCGCCUCCAAAGAACACUCACCUCUCCUGCCUUUCCUGCCCCGACUGGAUUCCAGGGUAGCCAAACGAAGGAGCAUUUUUCUUGGUAGAAGAAUGACAGCUAACGCAGGAGUGCUGGAGUUAGAUCUGGGCCUGGUCACCCCACAGCUGCUAAACCGCUGGGCAGCAAGGCUGAUGGGGACUUCAUAAUGGAUAGGUCGGGCUCAUUGCGCCUGAACCCCGGUACCUCUUCACACUGUGCAGAGUGGGGCAGCGGCCUGUGUGCAUCUCUGUGAGGUGCGGCAGGAGGUACCGAGCACGGCCAGGGAGGUGUCCUCACCAAAACAAGGGAACUGCAGUCCAGCAGGCCUCCGGAUCUAAUACCAGGUUACAGGAAAAAGAUAAAAGGGUGUGUUGGGGGGCGUGGAGAGAGCGGUUCACAGACCAUGCUUAAAUCAUAGCCUGAAGAUACAGUCCCAGAAGUUGGAAGUUCUACAAGACAGACACGGUCCAGUUUCAACCAGCACCUAGGAUUUAAAAAAAAAAGGAGGGGGAACUAAUAGAAUAAAAGAGACUUCAUGCAGUGUGUAGACAUUGUUUGGAUCCUAAUACAGACAAACCACCUAAAAAAAGGGACUGGUACAGGCGUAAUUUUGCCAUCACCUUCUUCAUGGGAAAAGUGGCCCUGGAGAGGAUUUGGAACAAGCUUAGACUGAAACGAAAGAAGACCAUCAACUAGGAGCCCACCCUGACCCACCCGCCCAGCGUCUAAGUUGCCACGAGAAGCAGCUGCUUAUAGGAGCUCGUUUUACGAGAGCUCGAAGACCUGUGUGUGCAGGGCAGGCUGGGAGGACGCGGGUCCUGGUGCGCUGUGGCCCAGGUGGCUCCGUCCUGACUGUGGAUUCCAGGCUGGCUCUUGGUCAUGGAAGUGAUGUUAAAUAAAACCCAAGCACUGUG